AGUGAACGCUGGCGGUAGGCCUAACACAUGCAAGUCGAACGGCAGCACAGUAAGAGCUUGCUCUUACGGGUGGCGAGUGGCGGACGGGUGAGGAAUACAUCGGAAUCUACUUUUUCGUGGGGGAUAACGUAGGGAAACUUACGCUAAUACCGCAUACGACCUACGGGUGAAAGCAGGGGAUCUUCGGACCUUGCGCGAUUGAAUGAGCCGAUGUCGGAUUAGCUAGUUGGCGGGGUAAAGGCCCACCAAGGCGACGAUCCGUAGCUCGUCUGAGAGGAUGAUCAGCCACACUGGAACUUGGACACGGUCCAGACUCCUACGGGAGGCAGCAGCGGGGAAUAUUGGACAAUGGGCGCAAGCCUGAUCCAGCCAUACCGCGUGGGUGAAGAAGGCCUUCGGGUUGUAAAGCCCUUUUGUUGGGAAAGAAAAGCAGCAGGUUAAUACCCCGCUGUUCUGACGGUACCCAAAGAAUAAGCACCGGCUAACUUCGUG
rnacentral:rRNA from 1 species